GUACUGCUGAAGAGUCCCAAAUUAGGACGAAACAGAUAUCCAGUAC
rnacentral:hammerhead_ribozyme from 1 species